ensembl:lncRNA
UCUGGCUUUACCACCCCUCUCUCUCUGCUGGCCGUCUGGCUUUACCACCCCUCUCUCUCUACUGGCCGUCUGGCUUUACCACCUCUCUCUCUCUGCUGGCCGUCUGGCUUUACCACCCCCCUCUCUCUCUACUGGCCGUCUGGCUUUACCACCCCUCUCUCUCUGCUGGCCGUCUGGCUUUACCACCUCUCUCUCUCUGCUGGCUGUCUAGCUAGCCUCAGUCAUCUAUCCACUAUGCACACAAUUUUUGGAAAGGUGUGGAAGAGGAGGUAUGAUGGAGAGAGAGAACGGUGUGGAAGAGGAGGUAUGAUGGAGAGAGGGAACGGUGUGGAAGAGGAGGUAUGAUGGAGAGAGAGAACGGUGUGGAUGAGGAGGUGUGAUGGAGAGUAAUAUAAUAAUAUUGGGACGCAAACUCAAAAUGAAUAAUACAUCUCAACUCUAUAUCUGACAUGGUACAGGUGUCUUUUUUUUACGCCCAUAACCAUGUUGUUACGUUCUGACCUUUGUUUCUGUUUUGUUAUUAUUUAGUAUGGUCAGGGCGUGAGUUGGGGUGGGCAGUCUGUUUGUUUUUCUAUGAUUUGGGGAUUUCUAUGUUUCGACCUAGUAUGGUUCUCAAUCAGAGGCAAGUGUCAUUAGUUGUCUCUGAUUGAGAAUCAUACUUAGGUAGCCUGGGUUUCACUGUUUGUUUGUGGGUGAUUGUCUAUGUUAGUUGCUUGUCAGCACAGUUCUCAUUAUAGCUUCACGGUCGUUAUUCGUAUAGUUUGUGUUCAGUGAUUUCUUUAAUUAAAAAAAUCUUCAUGAACACAUACCACGCUGCAUUUUGGUCCUCUUCAUACGACGAUCGUGACACAUGUGUGUGAGGUGGAUACUUUUAAAGUAGAUUUGUUUAAGACUACCAAGAAACACCCUGAUUUAGCCAACUGCAGUAGAAAGUUAUUAAAGGGAAACUAGGGUUAACUACUUUUAAACUGCUUAUGUAUUCAUUAACUACAUCUGUACAGUUAGAAUGCUAUAUUUAGUUACAUAAGC